CGAAUGAACUAGCCCUGAAAAUGGAUGGCGCUUAAGCGUGUUACCUAUACCUCACCGUCAGUGUUAGAGCGAUGCGCUGACGAGUAGGCAGGCGUGGAGGUUGUAUCGAAGCCUAGGCAGUGAUGCUGGGUGGAACAGCCUCUAGUGCAGAUCUUGGUGGUAGUAGCAAAUACUCAAAUGAGAACUUUGAGGACUGAAGUGGGGAAAGGUUCCGUGUGAACAGCAGUUGGACACGGGUUAGUCGAUCCUAAGCCAUAGGGAAACUCCGUUUUAAAGUGCGCACUUGUGCGUCGCCCGGCGAAAGGGAAGCCGGUUAACAUUCCGGCACCUGGAUGUGGAUUCUCCACGGCAACGUAACUGAAAGCGAAGACGUCGGCGGGGGCCCUGGGUAGAG
rnacentral:rRNA from 1 species